GCCGUAGCUCAGUGGUAGAGCAUCUGCUUUAUGUGCAGAAGGUCCCAGGUUUUAUCCCUGGUACCUCCA